rnacentral:rRNA from 1 species
UACGGGGGGGGUAAGCGUUGUUCGGAAUUACUGGGCGUAAAGGGCUCGUAGGCGGCCAACUAAGUCGGACGUGAAAUCCCCAGGCUCAACCUGGGAACUGCGUCCGAUACUGGUGGGCUUGAAUCCGGGAGAGGGAUGCGGAAUUCCAGGUGUAGCGGUGAAAUGCGUAGAUAUCGUAAGGAAGACCAGUGGCGAAGGCGGGUCUCUGGACAGUUCCUGACGCUGAGGCACGAAGGUCAGGGGAGCAAACGGG